GACGAACGCUGGCGGCGUGCUUAACACAUGCAAGUCGAACGAAGUGGCGAACGGGUGAGUAAUGCCUAGGAAUCUGCCUGGUAGUGGGGGAUAACGUCCGGAAACGGGCGCUAAUACCGCAUACUAUCAGAUGAGCCUAGGUCGGAUUAGCUAGUUGGUGGGGUAAAGGCCUACGAAUGCGACGAUCCGUAACUGGUCUGAGAGGAUGAGCAGUCACAAUGUAACUGUGACACGGUCCAGACUCCUAAGGUAGGCUGCAGUGGGGAAUAUUGGACAAUGGGCGAAAGCCUGAUCCGGCCAUGCCGCGUGUGUGAAGAAGGUCUUCGGAUUGUAAAGCACUUGAAGUUGGGAGGCGUUACCAACAGAAUAAGCACCGGCUAACUUCGUGCCAGCAGCCGCGGUAAUUC
rnacentral:rRNA from 1 species